rnacentral:tRNA from 1 species
GCCCGGUUAGUUAAGUGGUCUAACGGCUGACUUGUAAUCAGCAAACAUCGGUUCAAAUCCGGUACUGGGCU